rnacentral:rRNA from 1 species
UACGGAGGAUGCAAGCGUUAUCCGGAUUCAUUGGGUUUAAAGGGUGCGCAGGCGGAAUGAUAAGUCAGUGGUGAAAUCCUACAGCUUAACUGUAGAACUGCCAUUGAUACUGUUGUUCUUGAGUACAGUUGGAGUGGGCGGAAUGUGUCAUGUAGCGGUGAAAUGCUUAGAUAUGACACAGAACACCGGUCGCGAAGGCAGCUCGCUAAACUGUAACUGACGCUCAGGCACGAAAGCGUGGGGAUCAAACAGG